ensembl:lncRNA
GACUAGACCAGGACUAGACCAGGACUAAACCAGGACUAGACCAGGACUAGACCAGGACUAGACCAGGACUAGACCAGGACUAGACCAGGACUAAACCAGGACCACACCAAGACUAGACCAGGACUAGACCAGGACUAAACCAGGACUAGACCAGGACUAGACCAGGACUAGACCAGGACUAGACCAGGUCUAAACCAGGUCUAGACCAGGUCUAAACCAGGACUAGACCAGGACUAGACCAGGACUAGACCAGGACUAGACCAGGACUAAACCAGGACUAGACCAGGUCUAGACCAGGUCUAGACCAGGUCUAGACCAGGUCUAAACCAGGUCUAAACCAGGUCUAAACCAGGUCUAAACCAGGUCUAAACCAGGUCUGAACCAGGUCUAAACCAGGUCUGAACCAGGUCUAAACCAGGUCUGAACCAGGUCUAAACCAGGUCUAAACCAGGUCUGAACCAGGUCUAAACCAGGUCUGAACCAGGUCUAAACCAGG